GGCACUGGGCAAGAGUCAGUAGCUCUGUGGAUACGCAUGUGGUCAGCAAAGACGAGCAGAAAUGAACCCAUGCUCGGUGCGGGCUGUCCUGCUUUCCUGAGCUCAGCUGCUCGAGUGUGUUUCAAGAAGAAUAAUAGUAAAAGCUGAAUGCCUCUGCCACUGAUCGCCGUCCCCUCAUGUCCUGAUUUAGUGAGAGCCACAGAGUGAUCCUGGCCACAUCUCAGAGGUCCUGGGGAGAUGGCAGUCAUCAAGUCAGACAAAAUCUCUGCUUUCAAGGAACUUAUAUUCUAGUGGAGGAAGACAGACAAUAAGCACAUUUAUAGUAUGUCGGUGGCGAAUGAAAACUAGGAAGAAAAAUAAAUCGAGUGAGAAACAAAUUGCCAAAGGGGCGGAGAACAGUAUCUGCUGGUCAGAGGAUUCUCUCUCCGGGUCCUGAGCUCCAAGACCUGCAGGAACCCACUGCAGUCCGUGUCGGGCUGCAGACACUACCUGCAGCUUUUUACCUCUCCAGUCCCACAUACGCAGGAGAAUUGAUGUAUUUUCACACGGGAUGCCCCCUGACAGUUAAAAGACUGUUUGGCAAUCAAGGACACCAUACUGAUUCCAGCUGGGAACCAAGAUGAGUAAGAUGCAAUCCCUACCUCCAAGGAGGCCAAGACGGGAACAAGAACCUCUAGGUAUCAACUUCCACUUCUCUUCUCUGGAAAAUUUGAGGGCUGUCUCCAAACGGUGCUUCGAUUGCGAGUCAGAGGGAGAAGAAUGUUCAGGUCCCGUAAGCAGAAGCCCCCACAGAGUGUGUUUGCUGGUAACCAGCUUUUCUCAGGUUGUAAUGACUGAAGGUGAAUGAAGGAUUGAAGGCUUCGGGUGGAGAAUUAUCAAUCAGAUAGGGUGAAUAAACUCAAUUCCUCCAAAACACGAGCUAUUUCAAAGGUCACUGUCUUAAGAAAAAAUGUUGAUCAAUGGUCUCUUUCAGGAAAUCAACUCCGUUGAAAUAUAAUUUAUACUGCUUUUUACUUUUGUCUUCUUUCAGUGAAUUAAACUAUAGCCAC
rnacentral:lncRNA from 1 species